UACAGAGGGGGCAAGCGUUGUUCGGAAUUACUGGGUCGGUAAAGGGCGCGUAGGUCGGCCUGCUAAGUCGAAUCGUGAAAUCCCUGGGCUCAACCCAGGAACUGCGUCCGAUACUGGUUGGCUUGAAUCCGGGAGAGGGAUGUGGAAUUCCGAAGGUGUAGCGGUGAAAUGACGUAGAUAUCUGGAGGAACACCGGUGGCGAAGGCGACAUCCUGGACCGGUAUUGAACGCUGAGGUGCGAAAGCGUGGGGAGCAAACAA
rnacentral:rRNA from 1 species